AGCGCAGGCGGUUUAUCAAGUUUGUGGUUAAAGUUCGGGGCUCAACCCCGUGAUGCCACAGAAACUGGUAGACUAGAGUGCAGGAGAGGUGAGUGGAAUUCCAUGUGUAGCGGUAAAUGCGUAGAUAUAUGGAGGAACACCAGUGGCGAAGGCGGCUCACUGGCCUGUUACUGACGCUGAGGCUCGAAAGCGUGGGGAGCAAAUA
rnacentral:rRNA from 1 species